UAGACCCUUUUGCUCUCCUUUCCACGGAUUAAUAUUGUGAGCGGAUUCUUUCGAGUACGUUCUGUCUUUCAACUUUGCGGUUCAACCAAAGAAGUUCGUUGUCAAGUCUAAACUCUACCUCUGUCCACCAUAUGCAAUGUGUUUUAAAUGCUGUGCUGUUGGUCAUGAAACGGGAGAUCGUCCGCCGUUCAACUCAAGAUGCCUCGUCCCUCGCGCACUUCGUCUGUAGCCAAGAUGAGGUGGAAGAGGAUUCUUCCCAUGGCAACGACUUUGGCCAGAGGCUUCGUGCCUGGUACAGUGUUUCCCCCACGUUCACAGAGCAGCGGCGCGCCGCCGCUGCUGAAUUUUCUCCGCCGCUGCAAUAAAAAUCCUUCUCCUAAUUUUUUUUUUUUUUUUACGUAGCUCCUUUUAGAAAAUGUACAGCGCAUAACGUCAAUUGCGCAGCACGCGGCACAUCGUCACGUAACCAACAUCAAAGAAGAAAAAUACACAGCGAGUGGGGCAGUUGUUGGCAGUAGGCUACCCUACACGGUUGCAAAGUUACAUUGAUUCUAGCAGUAGCGAGUGAGGCGGAAGAUCGAAGAAAGAAGGAAAGAGAGAGACAGACACAGAGAGAGAGAGACAGACAGAGAGAGAGAGAGAAA
ensembl:lncRNA